UGACAACACAUUGACACCGACAGUCAGAACCUUCCGAGAGGGCUUUCACUUUGUCAUAAUCACCCAGCAGCUACAAAGAGAAAAGGACGGACUUGAUAUUGUUCCAGUUUAAAUCCAAGUGGUGCGUAAAGGCAAAAAUCCAUCCGGACCAAACUGUAUGAUGCAUUUUUGCAGCCUGGAGUCUGCAGCAGCCAGGCUGUUUGGCGGCACGGUCACUCCGUGCACAAGAAGCGCACAGUGCACCAAGAUCACCACGCAACACUUCAACAUGCUGGGACGCCGAUGAGAGAGUUUAAAAAAAAAAAAAAAUUGCAGAUUGUUCAAGUUAGCAGGCAAGAAAUGUCUUUGGCCUCCUCAUGGCGGGUCCAGACUGGAGAUGAAGGCUCUACGAGGCCAUGAUGUCAACGCACUGAUGGAGAGUGGAGGCAGGGAGAGGGUGCGUGUGAAAGCUGAGCGAGUGCCGACAGGAGGCGGGCCCUGAUGAUGGAAGGAGUGAGGAGGAGUUCAACUCGCAAUCCAUCAGCUCUACAUGUGAAAGUAAGUCUCGGGAAAUAAAUGUUUUUUUUAAGAUAGGGUAACCAAAAUAUUGGAAAAGCUCCCAUUAGGAUGUAGUGCAUAGCGACAUAGCUUCAAACGACUGUAUAAUUAUGACCUCAUGGCAAAGUUUAAGUGUACCUAAUGUAGUGGCUGGCAAGUGUCAAAAUGUUAUUUUGGGAAGUUCUUACAAAGAAAUUGGUUAAUAAAAUAUCAGUUUUAUAUUAUUUAUUUCAGGUCUGUAUUUGAAACACUAAGAUUGUGAAAUUAAUGAUUUUUACAUACAUUUUUUAAAUAUAUAUUAUUAAAUAAUUGGUAAGGUGAAUUCCAAAUAGAGCAUACAUGUUUCAAGUGUUUUUCUUUCAUAUCUCAUCAAUGUAUGACCAGAAAUGCAUAAAUUUGCCCAACCCUGGGUUUAACGGUGUAUUUGCUAAAUGCUGCCCUCUAUAGGGCACUACCAUACACUGCAACGAAACAAACAAGCCUCAAAUCUUUCGUCUUUAUUCGAUAUAAGGCACAUGAACUGUAUGAAGCAGUACAGUACUGUUUUCCUGGAGUAUGAUAGAAAGUUUGGUUAAGGGACACUGUCAUGUUGGAAGGUUGGGAAUUGCAAA